CUGGUGGUCAUUCUCCUGCUUUGUGCACUCUGGUGCACACGGCUGCUGUUGAGUUCACCCCCUUUAACUUCUUCGAGUGCACCUCCGCCGACACCCCUCAUGAGCCAUCCUUGCUCCAAGUUUGUUGUCAGUUCCUCUGUCUUCCCCUCCCCCACAGGUGUUUCUCCAUGACACCAGUGCUGUAGAGCCCUACCCUCUCCUGUUCUUUGGCGGGAAGAUCGGUGUCACCGAAGAGGAAGGGCUGGAGAUGAUCACCGUCGACGAUUACAUCAAAUUCUCCGCCCCGGCCAGAAUAGCCCGUUUAGUCAAGGAUCUCCGGUGUGAACUGGACAAGCUGCUGCAACAGAAGAUCAGCCAACCAGGGAUGACCUGCUGGCGUCAAGACACCAAGGAGGGCCGGAUCAUGCAGGCCAUCAUCGACCUCAUCACGACCCAGGAGGACAGCAGACAGUCUGCAUGGUAGAUGGGCCAAUGUUAGGGGUUGUACUGACUCUACUGGAGGUCAAAACACGGAGGUCGUCUUGUUAUACUGGCUGCCAUGACCCCAAGAUGACUUAGGAAGACCUCUGCAUAGGUAGUCGGCACAGUUUUAGAGUUGGUUGACCUAGAAGGCCUACCGCAGGCCUGGAAAACCCGGCAAGGCCUGCUACCUCAACUGAGGUUGUGAAAACCCUGCUAGGGUAAGGCCAGAAUGUGCAUUUGUAUCACGGGGGUCACUGCUUGCCUCAUAACAACCAAGCUAGGAGAAAUAUAACAUAGUCAGAACAGUUCAGAGUUCAUCCACAUGUACAUGUACGGAAGACCGAGCAUAGGCUUAUGCAUUUGAUGGUAUGUACUCAGCAGUGACAAAGGUUGAUCCAGAACUGAAUUUUUGGGGGGGUGGGGAGUCAAACUCGUUUGGGGAGAUGAUAUCUCGAAAACGGACCAAAAAAUAGUUGACAGGUUAAGAAUGAAACAGAUCAUAGCAGUGUAGCUCUUAUUAGAUAAUUCUCUGAGAGUUACCGGGACAUUGUUCUACAUGUUGGAAGAAUAAGUAGUUUUGUCUUUUGAAACACGUAUAAAUUUGUUCCCAAUUUCUGACAGGAUCUGCAGAUUUAUUUCAUUUCUGUUUCACCAUGAUUAUUACCAGUCACUCGCUAAGCACUCAAACUUAAAACUACAGAGUAGUAUGCUCUGGAUAUGAACCUGAACAGUAUCAAUGUGCCUGAUAUGUGAACGCUCCAGGAUAGCAUUGUUGUUCAAAGUAAUCAUGAAUCACGUACGUUCACCCAGCACUGCCAGUGUACCAAUUUAGUUAAUACAUGAGAUUGUAGGGGGUGGCGUAUGACAGGGGAAGCCAUAAUCUGGUCCUGUCCCCUGUGACUAGGGCUUCGAGUUUUGAUCAAAAGAGGCAGCAGUGGAGAGCCACAGCCAGUGUUCAAUACAUGUACAUGCCAUGGUCUCGUAUGGAGACACUUGCCAACGUAGGUUUUCCUGAAGAUAUACCCAACAUAUAUAUUUGCAAUGGAUGUCUGUAUUGACACAGAUGAUAAAGCCAAAAGUGCAAGAAGUUUAAAGUACUGGUAAUAUUCAGCCAUUUUAUGCAACAUGGUCAUUAGAAGCCAGUAUCGAUCUUUGACAUAUCACAAACUGAUUUGGAUCAACACCAUUAAACCCUACUAAAUUCUACACUAUUCGAA